rnacentral:rRNA from 2 species
UACGGAGGGUGCGAGCGUUGUCCGGAAUCACUGGGCGUAAAGGGCGCGUAGGCGGUUUCUCAAGCGCGUGGUGAAAGCCCGGGGCUCAACCCCGGGUCGGCCGUGCGAACUGGGAGACUCGAGCACUGUAGAGGCGGGUGGAAUUCCGGGUGUAGCGGUGGAAUGCGUAGAGAUCCGGAAGAACACCGGUGGCGAAGGCGGCCCGCUGGGCAGUCUGCUGACGCUGAGGCGCGACAGCGUGGGGAGCAAACAGG